GCGCCCGUAGCUCAGUUGGUAGAGCAAUGGAAUGGCAAUGGAACGGCAAUCCACAGUCCCGGGUUCAAGUCCCGGCGGUCGCU